UAAUUUUGGUUCUUCAACGGGGGAUGUCUUUGCUUCCCUCUUCGUCCCUCCUUUGUUCUCUCUGUCACGUUCCUGCUAAAGCAAGGUAAAGCUCUGAAGGCUACUCACAAGCCCUAAGUACUAAAUUGCAGCUCCAGGCAUUUGGUACUACUUUAUCAAAUCUGAAAUGGUACAUCUAAUCAGGCUGCUAAUUUUAGGGACAAUACCAGUGUGCAAUACACUAUUCUGAUUGCGUCUGGACUGAAGAAUGCCAAUUUUGGAGCCCUCAAAGAUCUAUCAGUUUAUUUAUUUUGCAACUCAUUGUUUGGAACUUCUGUUGCACAAAUUUUCGCCAUGAAAUUUGAUGUAUGUUGGGGCUCAAUGUUUGAGGAACGUGGAACAUAUAAGAUUGUCCUUCAUGUUUGUGAAAUCUGGAUUAGGGGGAUACAUUGGCUUAUUUCUGCUAAAUUUUAUUUCAAAAAAGGUUGGUUAUUUCUACUAAAUUGUUUGUACCUAGCUUGUGGCAUCCUUAUUUCUCUUUACGUUUUACUGUUGUUCUUGAGCUAAAUAUUAUACCUUCACAAACAUGUCUUUUUUACUUAUUUUUGUUGUUCUUGAUUUUUUUUUUUGAAAUAUUCUUCUUGAUUGUCUUUAUUCAAGCAUAAUUCGAUACUUUUAUUUUUGUGCA